rnacentral:rRNA from 1 species
UACCAGCACCCCGAGUGGUCGGGACGUUUAUUGGGCCUAAAGCAUCCGUAGCCGGUUCUACAAGUCUUCCGUUAAAUCCAGCUGCUUAACAGAUGGGCUGCGGAAGAUACUAUGGAGCUAGGAGGCGGGAGAGGCAAGCGGUACUCGAUGGGUAGGGGUAAAAUCCGUUGAUCCAUUGAAGACCACCAGUGGCGAAGGCGGCUUGCCAGAACGCGCUCGACGGUGAGGGAUGAAAGCUGGGGGAGCAAGCCGG